GACGAACGCUGGCGGCGUGCUUAACACAUGCAAGUCGAACGGAAAGGCCCUGCUUUUGUGGGGUGCUCGAGUGGCGAACGGGUGAGUAACACGUGAGUAACCUGCCCUUGACUUUGGGAUAACUUCAGGAAACUGGGGCUAAUACCGGAUAGGAGCUCCUGCUGCAUGGUGGGGGUUGGAAAGUUUCGGCGGUUGGGGAUGGACUCGCGGCUUAUCAGCUUGUUGGUGGGGUAGUGGCUUACCAAGGCUUUGACGGGUAGCCGGCCUGAGAGGGUGACCGGCCACAUUGGGACUGAGAUACGGCCCAGACUCCUACGGGAGGCAGCAGUGGGGAAUACUGCACAAUGGGCGGAAGCCUGAUGCAGCAACGCCGCGUGCGGGAUGACGGCCUUCGGGUUGUAAACCGCUUUCGCCUGUGACGAAGCGUGAGUGGCGGUAAUGUGUAAAGAAGCACCGGCUAACUACGUG
rnacentral:rRNA from 1 species